rnacentral:rRNA from 1 species
UACAGAGGUCCCAAGCGUUGUUCGGAUUCAUUGGGCGUAAAGCGUGCGUAGGCGGCUGCGCAAGUCGGGUGUGAAACCCCGGGGCUCGAACCCCGGAAACCUGCAUCCGAUACUGCGUGGCUAGAGGUAGGUAGGGGAGAUCGGAAUUCCUGGUGUAGCGGUGAAAUGCGCAGAUAUCAGGAAGAACACCCGUGGCGAAGGCGGCUCUCUGGGACGGGUACUGACGCUGAGACGCGAAAGCGUGGGGAGCGAACAGG